UACGGAGGGUGCAAGCGUUAUCCGGAUUCACUGGGUUUAAAGGGUGCGUAGGCGGGUAAGUAAGUCCGUGGUGAAAUCUUUGAGCUUAACUCAGAAACUGCCGUGGAUACUAUUUGCCUUGAAUAUUGUGGAGGUGAGCGGAAUAUGUCAUGUAGCGGUGAAAUGCUUAGAUAUGACAUAGAACACCAAUUGCGAAGGCAGCUCACUACACAAUCAUUGACGCUGAGGCACGAAAGCGUGGGGAUCAAACAGG
rnacentral:rRNA from 1 species